rnacentral:rRNA from 1 species
GACGAACGCUGGCGGCGUGCUUAACACAUGCCAGUCGAACGGAAAGGCCCUGCUUUUGUGGGGUGCUCGAGUGGCGAACGGGUGAGUAACACGUGAGUAACCUGCCCUUGACUUUGGGAUAACUUCAGGAAACUGGGGCUAAUACCGGAUAGGAGCUCCUGCUGCAUGGUGGGGGUUGGAAAGGUUCGGCGGUUGGGGAUGGACUCGCGGCUUAUCAGCUUGUUGGUGGGGUAGUGGCUUACCAAGGCUUUGACGGGUAGCCGGCCUGAGAGGGUGACCGGCGACAUUGGGACUGAGAUACGGCCCAGACUCCUACGGGAGGCAGCAGUGGGGAAUAUUGCACAAUGGGCGGAAGCCUGAUGCAGCAACGCCGCGUGCGGGAUGACGGCCUUCGGGUUGUAAACCGCUUUCGCCUGUGACGAAGCGUGAGUGACGGUAAUGGGUAAAGAAGCACCGGCUAACUACGUG